AAGAGGUAUAGGAUGGCUGUGUUGGGUUGGAAGGGGUCUUAUAGGUCCUAUAUGUAUGGGGUGGUUGUGGUUGGAUGGGUCCCGAAAGGUUAAAAAGCCUUUGGAUGGUGAUAUUGGUUGGGAAGGUCCUGGAAGGUCAAAGAGAUAUAGGAUGGCUGUGUUGGGUUGGAAGGGGUCUUAUAGGUCCUAUAUGUAUGGGGUGGUUGGGUUGGAUGGGUCCCGAAAGGUUAAAAAGCCUUUGGAUGGUGAUAUUGGUUGGGAAGGUCCUGGAAGGUCACAAAAUGGGAGGGGCGGUUGGGUCCUGGAAGGGGAAAGAGGUAUAGGAUGGCUGUGUUGGGUUGGAAGGGGUCUUAUAGGUCCUAUAUGUAUGGGGUGGUUGUGGUUGGAUGGGUCCUGAAAGGUUAAAAAGGCUUUGGAUGGUGAUAUUGGUUGGGAAGGUCCUGGAAGGUCAC
ensembl:lncRNA